rnacentral:rRNA from 1 species
CCUACGGGUGGCUGCAGUGGGGAAUAUUGCGCAAUGGGGGAAACCCUGACGCAGCAAUGCCGCGUGAGUGAGGAAGGAUUUCGGUCUGUAAAGCUCUGUUAAUGUGGAAGAAUGAGACGUGGUCUAAUAGGCCAUGUAAGUGACGGUACACAUAGAGGAAGCACCGGCUAACUUCGUGCCAGCAGCCGCGGUAAUACGAAGGGUGCAAGCGUUGUUCGGAUUUAUUGGGCGUAAAGCGCGCGCAGGCGGACCUGUAAGUCAGAUGUGAAAUCUCG